ACGGAAGGCAGCAGUGGGGAAUAUUGCACAAUGGGGGAAACCCUGAUGCAGCGACGCCGCGUGAAGGAAGAAGUAUCUCGGUAUGCAAACUUCUAUCAGCAGGGAAGAAAGUGACGGUACCUGACUAAGAAGCCCCGGCUAACUACGUGCCAGCAGCCGCGGUAAUACGUAGGGGGCAAGCGUUAUCCGGAUUUACUGGGUGUAAAGGGAGCGUAGACGGCAAGACAAGUCUGAAGUGAAAGGCAUGGGCUCAACCUGUGGACUGCUUUGGAAACUGCCUUGCUUGAGUGCCGGAGGGGUAAGCGGAAUUCCUAGUGUAGCGGUGAAAUGCGUAGAUAUUAGGAGGAACACCAGUGGCGAAGGCGGCUUACUGGACGGUAACUGACGUUGAGGCUCGAAAGCGUGGGGAGCAAACAGGAUUAGAUACCCUGGUA
rnacentral:rRNA from 1 species